CAUGCAAGUCGAACGGUCCCUUCGGGGAUAGUGGCGGACGGGUGAGUAACGCGUGAGGAUCUGGCUACAGGACGGGGACAACGAAUGGAAACGUUCGCUAAUACCCGAUGUGCCGAGAGGUGAAAGAUUUAUUGCCUGUAGAUGAACUCGCGUCGGAUUAGCUAGUUGGUGGGGUAAGGGCCUACCAAGGCGACGAUCCGUAGCUGGUCUAAGAGGAUGAUCAGCCACACUGGGACUGGGACACGGCCCAGACUCCUACGGGAGGCAGCAGUGAGGAAUUUUGCGCAAUGGGCGAAAGCCCGACGCAGCGACGCCGCGUGGAGGAUGAAGGCCUUCGGGUUGUAAACUCCUGUCAGAGGAGAAGAAAUCCCGAGUAAUCGGGUUUGACGG
rnacentral:rRNA from 1 species